CCCUUCGAUGUUCUGGGCCGCGCGCGUGCUACACUGAGUAAUUCAAUGGGUAAGGGAACGCUAGAGCAUUACCUAAUCUUGAAAUUUGCUCGUGAUGGGGAUCGACGGUUGCAAUUUUCCGUCGUGAACGAGGAAUACCUUGUAGGCGCAUGUCAUCAUCAUGCGCCGAAUACGUCCCUGCCCUUUGUACACACCGCCCGUCGCUCCUACCGAUUGAGUGAUCCGGUGAGGCUCUGGGACCUGGACGGAAAGAGCGUUUCGCUUGUUCUGUUUGGGAAACUUGGUCGAACCUUAUCAUUUAGAGGAAGGAGAAGUCGUAACA
rnacentral:rRNA from 1 species